rnacentral:rRNA from 1 species
GAUGAACGCUAGCGGGAGGUUUAACACAUGCAAGCCGAGGGGUAUGUUUCUUUCGGGAAACAGAGACCGGCGUACGGGUGAGUAACGCGUAUGUAACUUGCCCUGUUCACUGGGAUAGCCCUCCGAAAGGGGGAUUAAUACUAGAUAACAUAUAGAUUGGCAUCGAUUUAUAUUGAAAGAUUUAUCGGAACAGGAUAGUCAUGCGUAUGAUUAGGUAGUUGGUAGGGUAAAGGCCUACCAAGCCGAUGAUCAUUAGGGGGCCUGAGAGGGUGAUCCCCCACACUGGUACUGAGACACGGACCAGACUCCUACGGGAGGCAGCAGUGAGGAAUAUUGGACAAUGGGUGAGAGCCUGAUCCAGCCAUCCCGCGUGCAGGAAGACGGCCCUAUGGGUUGUAAACUGCUUUUAUACAGGAAUAAACCACCUUACGUGUAGGGUGUUGAAGGUACUGUAUGAAUAAGCCCC